rnacentral:lncRNA from 1 species
GAGCAGUUUUAAAAUUGUAAUGACUUAAUAAAGGAGAUGCCUCAGAUUGGAGAGAGGUUUCAUCUUCAGAACUUCUCUUGCCCCAAUUUUGUCUUAUCCAGAGUACUUAAUCUAAGAGUAGGGGGGUAAAUCCUCAACUAUAGUUAUUUUGUGACAAUAAUUUCAGUAUUUGCAUUUUUACCAUUCGUCUUCUAAAUAACUUUUUGAACAAGGUUCUUAUGCUCUUUUUAGGGAUGAAGAAAUGAGGGAUUGGAAGGUUGUGCUAUUUGCCCAAGUGGCCCAACCUGAGGAAUGGGGUGCUUGCCAGGACUUUAAGCCCUGGGUGCAUCCUAGGACCCUGCUGCCCUACAAGGCAUGCCCUGGGUCAGCUCCCAGGACCCACUCUGCCCCAUGUCCUUCUCUCCCAGGAAUUUUACUGGGGACCAAGAAGGUGAUAGAAGUUGUGAAAAGCAUAACCUAAGAAUGAUAGAGCCGUGUUCCGGUUAAGAGCAAGCAAAGGAAAAUUAGGAGGGCAGUAGGAGAAGAAGAUAGAAAGACAGGUUGGGUCUAAAAUUUUAAAGUGCCCCAAAUGCUAGGCAAAGGAGAUUUCCUUACUUCAUUAGGCGAGAAGGAGCCAUUAAGGGUUUUUGGACAAGAUGAAAUAACAGGAAAAUUAAUGUAGUGUGUAAUGGAUUAGAUAAAAUAACAGAUUUAGAGUCAGGGAGAAGAGCUAGGA